UACGGAGGAUGCAAGCGUUAUCCGGAUUCAUUGGGUUUAAAGGGUGCGUAGGCGGGCUAUUAAGUCAGUGGUGAAAUCCUGCAGCUUAACUGCAGAACUGCCGUUGAUACUGAUAGUCUUGAGUUUGGUUAAGGUAGGCGGAAUGUGUAAUGUAGCGGUGAAAUGCUUAGAUAUUACACAGAACACCAAUUGCGUAGGCAGCUUACUGAGCCGACACUGACGCUGGGGCACGAAAGCGUGGGGAUCAAACAGGA
rnacentral:rRNA from 1 species